AAUGGACUGCAGCACAGGGGAACAUCAAGCAGUGAUAAAGAAUGAAUUAUUCCUUACAGUUAAAAAGCCUGGACAUAACACAACAACAGAUAGAGGAGGAUUCUGAGCAAAAGAAGACAAGUGCCCAAGGACCUCAGGAGAACAGCACAAAUCAGUGAAGAAUUUGUCUUCACAUUCGACCCGACUAGAGGCUGCUGAGCUGAGGUGGUCAGGGAUAGAAGAACAUGAAAGGAGGAAUCGCCUGUCGGAAGAAGAAAUACACAGACACACAUUUAUAUAUGCCUGUGUCUCUGCUUUUCCUAAGAAUGAGGUGUCUCUCCUGCUGUGUUUUCCUGCUGAAGAUGGUGACAGACACAUUGUGAUCACAAAGGGAGACAGUCCAAGAGGAGGCAGCUAGAGGGACAGGAGAAAACUGUGCCUUUGGUGACACAAUUGACCUGAAGAUCAAGCCCUAAAACCUCUCUAUCCUCUUAGAUCACUCAACCCAGUUAACUCCCCCUGUUCCUCUUUGGGCCUCUUUGUGGUCACCAUCUUCUGGAACCCUGAGUACCUUUCAGCAGGAAGAACAUGUGUCUCUUCAACUCAGUUUGGGAAAGCUGAGAUGCUUUUUUCCCCCAGAAGCACUUAGAAAAUUUCUCCUCAAGUCUUAUUGGCUGGAACUUAGUCACCUGUCGGUUCCUGCCCCUGCGAUGAUCACCAUGGCCAGGAGAAUUAAAUGUGCUUCUGGGCUUUUGCCAGUCAGGGUUCUUAUCUAAAAAUGGGAGAGUAAAAGCCUGAAUAAAAUUCAUGAUUCUGUAACUGACAGGAGCGAGCAGCCGGUGCUGAGUCACUUAAGACAAGAAAAGCCCAAGACACAACGAUUCCAUUUUGGUUAUAUAUAAUCCCCACAAAACUUACUCCUCAAGGCAAUAGUUUUAGAAUGUUCAUUCAUGCUUACAAAAAAAAAUUUUUUAAGAACAAAAACAAACCAAAAACAAACAUACUCCCUCUCCCAACCUUCUCCACUAAUAUUAAGUGGAAUUGACCCAAAGUCUCAUUACUCACAUCAAGCUCAGGGUGUACGGUUACAAAGUAAUCAGCCAUCCUCUGUCUGUGCAAAUGGAGCUCUUGUUUUGAUUGUUUAACUGGUCUUAAACUUGGAAAUGGACAACAUGACAAUAUUCUGUUAUUUUUUACAUUAUACCAAAGGCUUGUAUAAUAAGCUGGCUUAGCCUACUAUGACAUUCUUGGACAAUGUUGCCAUUGAUUUGAUCAACAAUUUACAACUAAUAAAAGUGCAGGGUUUAGAGCCCUUUAUAGUUAAAGGAUAGUUUGCAGAAAUUGAUAUUUUAUACUUCUGUAGACUAGUUUGUGAGGUUGAACCACAGUUGAUAUGGAUUAUUAAACUGUAGAAAGAUACUCAGGUUUAUAUGUAAAUCAAUAAUUAUAUUUUGAUAUUCCUUUCUUAGCCAUUUAAAUCCCUACUUCUCAGUGUUGUUGAAAUAAUUUCUUUUGUCUUCCUGCUGAUUAUCUCAUGAACAGGAUCAUAAUAUCUUCAUCAUUUAUUUUAUGAAGAAUUCGGUUUUAUCAUCUCUCUUGAUUGCUGAAAGAUAUCAUUCACACUUACAUGGCUUGGGAAAAUGAAGGAUGACAAACAAUGACAGGGGACAGUCUAGUCCAGUGCAUAUCCCUUCUUGUUGGAAUAACAGCAAGUUCUCCCAACUUUGGCCUUGAAGUAGAUUAUUUAAUCAAUCAAAGUAGAUGCUUUUUGGUUUUGUUUUAUUUUUCAUGGUCACAUCUGGGUUAGACAGUUGGGAAGUUUCUUGUUAUAGGUAUGCUGUGCUCACUAGGGGCCCAUUCACUGGUUUAUUUAAUUAUUCAGACUCUUAAAAAGACUCCCAUAGGCCACAUUAGGCCUCAGACUCAGAAGGAUGUCAGACAAGAAUAAUUUCUCUUUGGUAGCUUAAUUCCAAGCAUUUCUCUCUACAGUCAUUCCUGCAUCAGUAAGCCAUGUAAUGUUUCACUAGCUACACACAUGGGACAUCUAACUCAAGGGGUUGAGGGUCAUAUCAGGUGGGUUCAGGAAUUUCCUUGACUUAAAAAACCUUCUGUUAUAUGUAGAGAAUCAGAUGUGACUGUGAGCUUGAAAACGUAAUUAUUAUUGCCCUUGAUGGAGUCUGCCUGCAAACGAGAUAUUCUGUCAAGGUCUAGAUAAGGUGACAGCAAAUCAUGCUUGCAUAUGAGAUGUUUUGUUGUCUUUGUUGGGGCUUGCUCGCAAAGGAGAGGUUCCUUCAAAGUUUAGAUAAGGUAACAACGGACAGCUUGAAAACGAGGUGUCUGCUGUCCUUGGGAAGACUUGCUCGAAAACGGGAUGUUCUGCCAAGUGGGCUAGGAGGGCGCUGAGAAAAUUGUUAUCUGUUCUUAACAAAGAGCAGAGCUCAGCAUGCUCCGGGCCAAGAGUAGAUUAAGCCAUGAGAAGUGGGUCACUUCUGAUUAGAAAGUAAGACUUCUGUAUGCUAUGUUUAACUAGCCUAAAGACCUGAUUUAUUGCUGUUGGAAGGCUGCCUUCUUUGUUCACAAUACUAUAAAAAGAUCGCUGUGUACAAUAAAGGACUUUUUUACUUCAA